AUGCGUAGGGUGCGAGCGUUGUCCGGAAUUACUGGGCGCAAAGAGCUCGUAGGUGGUUUGUCGCGUCGUCUGUGAAAUUCCGGGGCUUAACUCCGGGCGUGCAGGCGAUACGGGCAUAACUUGAGUACUGUAGGGGAGACUGGAAUUCCUGGUGUAGCGGUGAAAUGCGCAGAUAUCAGGAGGAACACCGGUGGCGAAGGCGGGUCUCUGGGCAGUAACUGACGCUGAGGAGCGAAAGCAUGGGUAGCGAACAGGAUUAGAUACCCUGGUAGUCCAUGCCUUAAACGGUGGGCGCUAGGUGUAGGGGUCUUCCACGACUUCUGUGCCGUAGCUAACGCAUUAAGCGCCCCGCCUGGGGAGUACGGCCGCAAGGCUAAAACUCAAAGGAAUGGACGGGG
rnacentral:rRNA from 1 species